GCUUUGGGUCUGCAAGUUCUUAACCAUGGGCAGAACUUUGAGCUUAUCAACAUCUUCUCUCCCAUCAUGGAAACUGGCUUGCACACUUGAAGUUAGACAGAUCACAGAAUCACAGAAUAUCCUGAAGUGGAAGAGUCCCAUAAACGUCAUUGAGUCCAACUCCUGGCUCCACGCAAGACCACCCGAAAAUCAAACCCUAUGUCUGAGAGAACUGUUCAGAUGUUUCUUGAACUCCAACAGCUUGGGGCCAUGACAACUGCCCUGGGGAGCCUGUUCCAGGGCCCAACAUCCCUCUGGGGAAUGCAUAUGUUUGUGCAUAUGUUUGUGCAGGUCUUGCUAUGAAAAAGUGACCACGGUAAAGCAGAAAGAGGCAAUGGAAUACAUUCCCUCUUACUUUCGUGUUGAUGGCAAAUAGAGUUCUCAUAUUCCCACUUGUCCCAUUGGUGUAAAGGAUGACUUUAGCAAACUGUCUAAGCACAUUCACAUGAGCACAGAAUGACAUGCAUGAAUUAUGUGUUGGAAGGAAAGCAUUUACAGAAUUAGAAAGCCACCAUCUGCACAUUUGCAUUUUCAGUACUAUAUAAACUGCCCAAUGGUUUUCCGCUUAAAGUUUCCAGAAAGACAGGUACUAUUCUUAGUGCUGGUUGAAGCCCCGGUGAGUUUUCUCCUUGCAGGAUGCUCAGUUAACUACAACUACAGACCUAGAUGCUCUUUGAAUUUAUCAGGAGUGGAUUCCAAUGCUGAUAUUUUAAUGCAGCUCCCUGACACACUUACUAGUCACAGGCUUUUCCUUAUUAAUGAUUUGUGACCUCAUGGUUCAGCUGCUCAGAACCAGAGACGCUUCACCCCUACAUAGAUUCUUCAGCAGCUGUCUGCCUGUAGCUCCGAGCUUAUGGCAUGGCACUGGUUCAAAAAUGGAUAAAGAAGGAAUGAGGAGAUGUGCCGUCAUGAAUAAAGAUACCAAAUCAGUUCACAAACACAAAACUGGACCAUUUUCAAAAAAGUCAGGUGCACGGUGAGUGGAAGCUGUUCCAAGUCUCAUGCUUAUACAGCAGCCCACAGAUGUCGUACAUCCAUGUCUGAGCAACCAGCUGUCUUCUCAUCAGUAUUAAGUGUUCAGCUGACAUUAAAGGGACAGACAGCACUAAAACUGAGAGCACAGAAACUUGAAUGGCUUUCCUGAAGUCUGCUGUGCCCAUGAAUUGUUGUGCACACUUCUUUUUUUCUGAAAC
ensembl:lncRNA